rnacentral:rRNA from 1 species
AACGGCCGUACCAUGCUGAAUAUACCGGUUCUCAUUAGAUCAAAGUCAAAUGCAUCAUUGGGCGCGGUCAGUACUUGGGUGGGUGACCACCUGGGAAAAAAUGUGGCCG